UCUGUCCGUGAAAUUCUCCAGGCAGGAAUACUGGAGUGCACUGUUCUUUAGUCAGUGGAUAAUGAGGAACUAUACGAUUUUUAAGUAAGGAGAAGAAUUCUAAUGGGGUAGUAAAAAAAAAAAGUUAGUUUGACAGCAGAUUUUAAGAUGGAAGAAGGCAGUAUGAAAUUAAGGGCAGGGAGAUUAAUUAAGAGACUACUUGGAUAGUCCAAAUAAGGGUGCUGAACUCUGGCAGUGGCAAAUGGGCAUGGGUGUGUGGGGUACGUGAGAGAACUGGGAAGAUCAGGGGCAUGUAACGUGAGGACUGAUUAGAUACGGAGGGUGAGGGACAGCUGGGAGUUACCGGAAUAGUGAUGCUAACUUAGACAGAGACUUUGGGAAAGGAGCUGGCUUGAGCGGAGUUCAAUUCAGAGCAUCCUGAGCUUUAAGUGACAGAGCAUUUGGGAAUAAAAUAUGAAAUCAGUUGCUUACUGGUUCAAUUCUUGUAUAUAUACCAAAAAAAGAAGUCAAAACCACAGACUGAUGGUCAUACAGCCGUGGAUGUCACAGAGCAGCUGCUUCGGGGAUUAGAUCGUCCAAUCCAAAGCUACUUUGGUAAGCCACUGACUGAACAGCCUUUCUCUAUCAGGCGCUUGUCAAUUGGUGCAAUGGAAAUGCCCCCAAGUGGUGUCGGAAUAUAUUUUGGUAGGAAGGGGUCCAGAGUGAUCCAAGUGAGUCCAGAUCCAGAACCGCUGGUCCAGGGACUCGGGGCCUGAAAACGACGUUGACCCAGCAGUAGUCGUGUUAACAUUGAGGACGCGUCUGGAAGAACGGAAGCAGACUCUGACGAGGGUGGAGUCUCCUGAGGGCCACUGUGGUGACCUUUGUUUAGGUUCGAAUGCUCCAGUGAAGAGUCCCAGCUCCCAGCUCCCAGCCUGUCUCCUGUGCAAACCUCUACCCUCUGUGGACACAAGUCGACGGGGACCCUCUACCUGCCUCUGCGCAGCGGUCACACCACGCCCUCCAUCCUCACCUAAACGGGUGUGGUGACGGCCCCGAGUUAUCACACCCUAAACAGGAGUCUGUCUAUCCCCGUUAUAUCUGAAUGCAGUGUAUGAAUUUUCCUCUGGGCAGUACUUGGGAGACUAGACAAAGCGUCUACCGUGGGGACUACCUGCUUUUCCAAAAGGCACCUAAUAAAUUACUGAGGGAACCUCUUGGCUCUCCUCUUCUGGAAACUAUACGUAGAUAACUUUCCACCUUGACAGGCUUCAGACACCAAGAUCCAACCUUUUGGACUGUAGAUACCUUCUCUAUUUGCUUUAUUUUAUUAUACCAAAGCAUUUUGCUAAGAGUAUGUUAAGGCAUGUCUCUUUCAAGUUAAUUAAAUUAGAGUACAUUUUGAAAUCCCCUUGUGAUUCCCUCAAUUAAAUGGAUGUCACAAAAAUAAAUGAAAAUUCCUGGUCUGGGGCAUUCACUUGCAUGAACCAAACAAAUGAGUCAAGUCUCUUUUUAGUUCUAAUAUUCUAAUAAAUUUGUGUCAAUAUUUAGCUUCUAUUUUAUUUGAGGUAUAUUAGUCUUGGCAUUUAGAAAAUGGACGUUGAAUAGUUAUAUUGGUUAUAUGGAAUGAAGAGAAAAGCAUCCUGACAAUGAUAAGAUCUUUUGAGACUUGUAAACACUAUCUUAGUGGCCUAAAAAUAGAUUUCAGGACUAAAAAAAAA